UAUAGUAUAAAAAUUAUUUCCCAAUCACAUAGAUGUUGGGGGCAGGUCAUUUUGUUGAAUGUAAGUUACUUAUGUGUAUCAGUUAAUAAGAAGCACCCUCUAUAGAUAAAUGAUAUAUAGGUAUUACAUUGUCAGUUAAUUUAAAUUGGAUAUAUUAAGUAAAUUUCAGUGAAAUGCAUGUGUUUCUGGAGUUGAAUAUAUAACAUAUAUUUUACAUUUUUACCAGAUUUAGCAGGACAAGGGAUGACUUGUGUUUUGAUUGAAAUUGACUCUCUACAUGGAAUAAGAGCAAGGGAUAUGUUUGAUUAUGUCUUGAAACAAUCCAGGAGAAUACUGCUGUAUAUAACUACACAUUACCUGCAAGAUUUUUCGUUGAAGAUGGAAACAAAAGGGAUAAUGCAUGCAGCUAUGUCACAGCAAAAGCAAGUCAUCCCUGUAUAUGGAGACAUCACCAGUGAAGAACAGAGAAAAUUACCUUUGUCCUUGAGACAUUUGAUACCCAUAGAUAGCAGAGAGGAAGGAUUUUUGAAACAUUUGUCAAUGAGGAUCAAAGGUAAUAUCCCUGCGUAUUAAAAAUACUGUUUAUUACAGUAACUGUCUCUGUCAGCUAACCAUACAUUUACUUUUCACCCUGAGUUUGAUAGUUUGAUAUCACUGAUAUAUUGACCAGUUUUUUUUUUCAAAAUUUGUUAUACCACCAGAUGCAAACACAACAAGCGAAGUUGCUGUUUGAAGAGGUGGGAUGCUCCACCAUAAAAUAUUAUGAAGGAGAUAAAAAAAUAUUUUAAAGCUACCGUGGGUAUAUCUGCCUAGUAAUUAAUAACUCAAAUAUUCUGAAUACUUUGUGAUUUAAAAGUCAAACUAAGCUUGUUUUGUGGUGUCUUUUGAAUCUUGAAUUGGAACUGGCAUAAUAAUUAGACACAGUUGACUUCUGUAAUCACCUUCUGAGAGCAAAUGAGAUCUUGGCUACAUCUGCGAAUCAAAAUGUGUAUAAGAUGAAUGUAAUAAGUAAAUAACUUGGUCAUUUCCAGGGGAAGAUAUAGAAUAUAAUGUUUUCAUUUUUUAUGAUAGAAGAGAUGAAAUAGAGGUAGAACAACUAUCUCAAGAUUUAGCAGGACAAGGGAUGACUUGUAUGUUGAUUGAAAGUGGCCCUCUACAUGGAUUGAGAGAAAAGGAUAUGUUUGGGUAUGCCUUGAAACAAUCCAGGAGUGUACUGCUGUAUAUAACUACACAUCUGCUGCAUGAGUAAGUAUAAGCUAGGUGUUGUCUCUCUUUGAAAUUUGUUAUUUCUGUUUGGAUGUGGUAGAAUCUAUU